rnacentral:rRNA from 1 species
UUGGAAGGUAAAAGUGUAACAAGGUUUCCGUAGGUGAACCUGCGGAAGGAUCAUUA